GGGGGUGUAGCUCAGUGGUUAGAGCGCGUGCUUAGCAUGCACGAGGCCCCGGGUUCAAUCCCCGGCACCUCCACCA
rnacentral:tRNA from 1 species